rnacentral:lncRNA from 1 species
CAAUAAAUUACAGCACUGCCACUAUCAAGCCCAACAGAAAAAAACUCAAAAAACACCCAAAACAAACCCAGCCCAAAUUUAUAAACAAGCCCAAACAUUGUACCAUCUCGUAUUCCAUAACUUUCGACCCAAAAAAAAAAGUAAAACGUAACUUAACUGCCAGCACGCGCGCCUUCAUUUAAGCCAUCUCUGCAAAACGUCUCUUCACUCUUCGUCUUCAUCAAAUCGUCUGCAAAACCGAGACUCCAUAAUCACCACGAAGCUUCAUCUACUUUCAAAACGAACACCAGACACUGACCUCCACCUUCAGAACCAAGACAAAAUUUCAGAGAACAAUUUCGACAAGAA